ACCUCUGAUAGCGCAGAAACGUAAG
rnacentral:piRNA from 1 species